rnacentral:rRNA from 1 species
AUUGAACGCUGGCGGCAGGCCUAACACAUGCAAGUCGAGCGGAUGAAGGGAGCUUGCUCCUGGAUUCAGCGGCGGACGGGUGAGUAAUGCCUAGGAAUCUGCCUGGUAGUGGGGGAUAACGUCCGGAAACGGGCGCUAAUACCGCAUACGUCCUGAGGGAGAAAGUGGGGGAUCUUCGGACCUCACGCUAUCAGAUGAGCCUAGGUCGGAUUAGCUAGUUGGUGGGGUAAAGGCCUACCAAGGCGACGAUCCGUAACUGGUCUGAGAGGAUGAUCAGUCACACGGGAACUGAGACACGGUCAAGACUCGUACGGGAGGAAGCAGUGGGGAAUAUUGGAAAAUGGGGGAAAGCCUGAUCAAGCCAUGCGGCGGGUGUGAAGAAGGUCUUCGGAUUGUAAAGAACUUUAAGUUGGGAGGAAGGGCAGUAAGUUAAUACCUUGCUGUUUUGACGUAACCAAAAGAAUAAGCACCGGCAAACUUCGUG